UACGAAGGGGGCUAGCGUUGCUCGGAAUCACUGGGCGUAAAGCGCACGUAGGCGGGUCUUUAAGUCAGGGGUGAAAUCCUGGAGCUCAACUCCAGAACUGCCUUUGAUACUGAGGAUCUCGAGUCCGGGAGAGGUGAGUGGAACUCCGAGUGUAGAGGUGAAAUUCGUAGAUAUUGGGAAGAACACCGGUGGCGAAGGCGGCGCUCUGGACCGAGACUGACGCUGAGGCGCGAAAGCGUGGGGAGCAAACAGG
rnacentral:rRNA from 1 species